GACGAACGCUGGCGGCGUGCUUAACACAUGCAAGUCGAACGGAAAGGCCCUGCUUUUGUGGGGUGCUCGAGUGGCGAACGGGUGAGUAACACGUGAGUAUCCUGCCCUUGACUUUGGGAUAACUUCAGGAAACUGGGGCUAAUACCGGAUAGCAGCUCCUGCUGCAUGGUGGGGGUUGGAAAGUUUCGGCGGUUGGGGAUGGACUCGCGGCUUAUCAGCUUGUUGGUGGGGUAGUGGCUUACCAAGGCUUUGACGGGUAGUCGGCCUGAGAGGGUGACCGGCCACAUGGCGACUAAGAGACGCACCAGAGUCCUACGGGAGGCAGCAGGGGGAAAUAUUGUACAGUGAGCGGAAGCCUGAUGCAGCAACGCCGCGUGCGGGAUGACGGCCUUCGGGGUAUAAACCGCAGUCGCCCGUGACGAAGCUUGAGUGACGGUAAUGAGUAAAGAAGCACCGGCUAACUACGUG
rnacentral:rRNA from 1 species